rnacentral:rRNA from 1 species
GACAAACGCUGGCGGCGUACCUAAGACAUGCAAGUCGAACGGGGGCUCACCGCUUCGGCGGGGAGUCGAGUGGCGGACGGGUGAGUAACGCGUAGGGACCUGUCGAGCAGUGGGGGAUAACGCUGGGAAACCGGCGCUAAUACCGCAUGUGAUCGGGAGACCGAAGAAAGCAGCAAUGCGCUGUUUGAGGGGCCUGCGUCCGAUUAGCUUGUUGGUGGGGUAAGGGCCUACCAAGGCAUCGAUCGGUAGCUGGUCUGAGAGGAUGGUCAGCCACACUGGGACUGAGACACGGCCCAGACUCCUACGGGAGGCAGCAGUUAGGAAAUUUUUCCAAUGGGGGAAACCCUGAGAGAGUAACGCCGCGUGGAGGAUGACGGCCU